GAUGAACGCUGGCGGCGGGCCUAAUACAUGCAAGUCGAGCGAACAGACGAGGAUCUUUCUCCUCUAACGUUAGCGACGGGCGGGUGGGUAAGACAUGGAUAACCUACCUAUAAGACUGGGGUGACUUAGGGAAACCAGAGCGAAUACAUGAUAAUAUAUUUAACCGCAGGGUUCAAUAGUGAAAGGCGGUGUUGCUGUCACUGAUAGAGGGAUGCGCGCCGCAUUAGGUAGGUGGUAAGGUAACGGCCUACCAAGGCAACGAUGGGUAGCCGACCUGAGAGGGAGAUCGGACACACUGGAACGGAGACACGGUCCAGACUCCUACGGGAGGCAGGAGUAGGGAAUCUACCGCAAUGGGCGAAAGCGUGACGGAGCAACGCCGCGUGAGUGAUGAAGGUCUUCGGAUCGGAAAACACUGUUAUUAGGGAAGAACAAAUGUGUAAGUAACUAUGCACGUCUUGACGGUACCUAAUCAGAAAGCCACGGCUAACUACGU
rnacentral:rRNA from 1 species